CUACAACAGACGCCAUGGGGCCAGACACCUACCCCCACUUCAGCCUGGUGGUAACGUCCUCUCCAAGCUGGACCACCAGAAAUCCUGGACAGCUCCUGCAGUUGUGACCGCUGAGAGUGUCACGCCACGCUCUUACAUCAUCCAGACGCAGCAGGGGGCAAGACUCAGGCGCAACCGGCGCCACCUGCAGGAGAUGCCUGCUCCACAGCCGCCUGGAGGCAAAGCACCUGUCUUACCUGUUUGCACGGACAAUCCGGACAUCAAUCGACAGCAGGGGGACUCCAGUGUCAGCAUGCAUGCUGGUGCUGAAAAUCUGUCACAGACCAGGUCUGGACGGAUCUCUAAGCCAGUCAUCAGACUGGACUUGUGAGUUAACAUGUCCUCGCACUCAUGGCCUUUGGGGGGGAAGAAGGGAAAAGAGUUCCAGGCGUGGUAACCUUUAAACCACAUAAAAGAGUUCCAGGUGGUAAAGCCACAUAAAAAGAAAAAGAGUUCCAUAGAAUGUUAUAAACUGAUGUGUCUUAAUAUCAAAAGAGUUCAGGAAUGCAAACUGUUAUCUUAUAGUGAAAAGUAAUUUAAUAAUCGUUUGAUAAUCUAAAGGUUUAUUGAAUAUAAGUACUACAGAAGACAGACCAUGGGUUGAAUGUCGUUUAUUGAUAUUUAAUGAAGAAUGACAUUGUUUACAUUUCACAAGAUGUUUAAUGUGGUCCUGCUUAUUGCUACAGAAUAGCAUUGUUCUUUACAGAAUGUUUAUCUGUUUACUUUAUUGAGGAAAGUAGAACUAAAAAGGGGAGAUGUCAGAGUAUUAGUGUUUACGGUACUCUGCUUUACGGCUGUCGUAACGUAGCUGUUGUCUAUGGCUGUUGAUGUUUACUCUAGUGGGUGUUACGGCAGUGGGAGGGGGCUUUUCACGUGAGUCUUCACAUGUAUGCUGUGGACAUGAACCCGAGAGCUCCUGGAUAAAGUCAGAAGUAACAACUUACCUGUGUCUGGACAUUCCGUGUUUUAUUACACCUUCAACGUCGUUAUUAAGCACAUUCGAGGCAAGGAUAACGUGGUAGGAGAUGCGUUGUCGCGCUUGUGUUCCUGAUUCGUGGGGUGGAGCUACGACUACUAUCCCUACUUAAGGCGUGGCCUGUGCUCCCGAACGGGGGGGGUCUCUCAUUCUGGCAUCUUCACGUUGACCUGAGCUGCCUUUGAAUCCUGCAUUGAGGACUGCUAUCUAGGGCUGUUUCUGAAAUGUUAUACUACAUACUACAUACUGCAUACUGACACAGUAUAUACUGUGCACUACAUACUACUCCCCGCCAUAGUAUGCAGUAUAGUAUGCAAGUAUGACAAGUAUCAUGCAGUGCACUACACAGUCACAUGACCAAACAAUUGUGACGAAUUUGACGUGUCAGACUGGCGUGGUUUUCGAGCCGGCUCUCCCCUAAAUUUACGCAUAUAUUUUUUUUUUUUCAUAGGCCGAUAUAUUUUUUUACCAUUUUGAACAUUUUCAUUUUUUACCAUUUAACAUGUCGCACUUUUUAACAUGUCGCAGGAGAAGGGCACUGCUGAAUAAAACGGCAGUUGCGGUAAUAUUACAGCAGCAGGAGGCGCGCUAUGUUGACCUUAGGGGUCAGUAUUGUCAGCUGUUUCCCUUUUUUUUGGUGACGGCGACCUAAAGAAAGACUUCCGUCUUUCUAGGGAGUCCGUGAAUGCCCUUGUGGAGGCCCUGGUGGAUGAGCACAUCCAUGGCUGGGGGAGAGAACUGGAGGUGGCAGUUUUUCUAUACUGGCUGGCCAGUGCCACCUCCUACAGAGUGGUCUCUGAGGCCUUUGAUGUGCCUCUUUCCACCGUCCACAUGAUUGUCCAUCGGGUUGCAAAGGGAAUACUGCAGAUCUACACAAAGGCUGUAUGUUUCCCGUCUGAGGCUGAGCUGGAGGUCAUCGGAGCGGGGUUCGCCCAGCUGGCUGGUUCACCUGCCUUGAACCGUGUGGCUGGGAGCAUUGACUGCAGCCACAUUAGAAUAAAGCCUCCUGGGGAAUACAAGGAGGAUUAUUAUAAUAGAAAGUUGUUCCAUUCAAUUCAGCUGCAGGCCAUUUGUGACCAUAAAGGGCGCUUCCUCAAUGCUUUUGUUGGCCUUCCUGGCUCGGUCCAUGAUGCCCGGGUGCUCAGGUGGAGCUCUGUGUAUGUGCAGCAGCUGUACCCACCACCUGGGUGGUGCAUCAUAGGCGAUGGAGGCUAUCCUUGCCUUGCUACCCCCAUCUGCCUGAUGACCCCGUUCCGGGAGCCAGUACAGGGCCCCGUACAGGCCAGGUACAACAAGCACCUGUCAAAGGCAAGGUGUGUUGUGGAGAGGGCCUUCGGGAUGAUGAAGACCAGGUGGAGAUCCAUCUUUCUGAAGGCCCUUGAGGUAAAGUCAACCUUUGCCCCAGUGGUGGUGUCCUGCUGUGUCUUCCUCCACAACUUGUGCCUAUCAAAUGGAGACUUUGUGGAGCCAGGAGACUUUCCACAGGAUCUCCCCGACAACAAUGAAAUGCAGCAUGCUGUGGAACCAGGGGACAACAUCAGGCGCAGACUGGCUGCUGCUGUCUCUGCACCAAAUGCCUGCAUAGAUGCACUGAGAGAUCAUGUGUACUGAACAUGGUCUGCACCCUGGAGACUCAUUUGUAAAUAGUUAAAUAGUAUACCUGUAUAUAGUUCUUUGCUUUUUCCUAGUGUUGUCUUUUGUCUGUGUAUGCCCCAUGUUCCGUCUUUUGUGUUUUAUUAACCUUGUCCUGUCUUACUAACAAUUAUAUUCACAACUUGUUCAAUAAAAAUGAUUUGUUAUAACUAAA